GAUGAAGAACGUAGCGAAAUGCGAUAAGUAGUGUGAAUUGCAGAAUUCAGUGAAUCAUCGAAUCUUUGAACGCACAUUGCGCCUUCUAGUAUUCUGGGAGGCAUGCCUGUUUAAGCGUCAUUAAACCUCUCUCAAGUAUGAUUACUUGGAUGUGAAGGAAGAGUACCUUAAACUUAAGGAGUGUUCUCCUUUGAAAUUGAUUAGCAGAUGGUAAUGUUAUUAAAUCCCUGAUGUUGUAAGAAAUAACAGUGGUUUUGUAGACUAUUAUCUAGCUUUAAAUUAUAAUUUUUAUUAUGGUUGACCUCAAAUCAGGUAAGGAUACCCGCUGAACUUAAGCAUAUCAAUAAGCGGAGGA
rnacentral:misc_RNA from 1 species